rnacentral:rRNA from 1 species
GACGAACGCUGGCGGCGUGCUUAACACAUGCAAGUCGAGCGAUGAAGUUCCUUCGGGAAUGGAUUAGCGGCGGACGGGUGAGUAACACGUGGGUAACCUGCCUCAUAGAGGGGAAUAGCCUUUCGAAAGGAAGAUUAAUACCGCAUAAGAUUGUAGUAUCGCAUGAUACAGCAAUUAAAGGAGUAAUCCGCUAUGAGAUGGACCCGCGUCGCAUUAGCUAGUUGGUGAGGUAACGGCUCACCAAGGCGACGAUGCGUAGCCGACCUGAGAGGGUGAUCGGCCACAUUGGGACUGAGACACGGCCCAGACUCCUACGGGUGGCAG